UCUCCGUUGGUGAACCAGCGGAGGGAUCAUUACCGAGUUCACAACUCCCAAACCCCUGUGAACAUACCAUUUGUUGCCUCGGCGGUGCCUGCUUCGGCAGUCCGCCAGAGGACCCAAACCCUUGAUUUUAUACAGUAUCUUCUGAGUAUAUGAUUAAAUAAAUCAAAACCUUCAACAACGGAUCUCUUGGUUCUGGCAUGAUGAAGAACGCAGC
rnacentral:misc_RNA from 1 species